GACGGACGACAUGGCAUAGUCAUUUUUCAAUGCACGAGAAUCUUGGAGUGUAAACAGAAAUGAUUAAACUGCAAUAAACGUAACUGCACGGUUUAAUAAUUAGCCCGACAAGUUCUGGAAUCCGAAUAAGAACGCUAUCAACUUACAAGAAUUCGUCGCACGCAAAAAUCAAAUUCCAAAGACCCUCGAACGAUCGAAAUUGCGUCUCAGUCCACGAUUGUAACAGUCGCGGUGAAAGUGGAAAGGAGCACCAGCCAGUGUUACACCAAUUACCGGGAUAGCGAAGUGGGCUUAGAUAUUCGCAAAGAUAAACGAACAUUUGGAAAGGUCUCCCGGAGUUGACGACAUCGAUUAGAGACACCUUUCCUCCGUUUUGCAUAAUUAAACAGGUACGAUGACAACGAUGGUCAAUGUUUUCUCGGAGCAAAGAGGAAAGGGGGAACCAGUGUAACGAUAGCAACGAACGGGAGCGGAGCGACGAGGACAGAGGAGUCGUAGAUGAAACGGUAGGAAGCAAAAUGUAAAACGACCGCCUCGUAUCAUCGGUGACGACCAAGACCACAAAAACGUAUACACCAACCACACCGCAACACAAACUCCGCAUAAAGAGAAAAGAAAUAUUGAAAAAACCGCGCGAGCAGGACCUUCCAAUAAAACAAACCACGUGUACACGGAGCAGUAAAACGGGAAACAACCGCCAGCGAGCAUCUAUCAACCAUAAAACCAAUUUCUCGCAAAAAGCUCCAAGUCGAACCAAACAAGGAGCUUGUCGGAUCUACUUACGGCCCUC